rnacentral:rRNA from 1 species
GGGCUCACACAAGCGGUGGAGGAUGUGGCUUAAUUCGAGGAUACGCGAAGAACCUUACCUAGACUUAACGUGCUUGGGAAUUCCUGUGAAAGCAGGAAGUGCCUUUCGGGGAGCCCUUGCGUAGGUGCUGCAUGGCUGUCGUCAGCUCGUGUCGUGAGAUGUCGGGUUAAGUCCCUUAACGAGCGAAACCCUUGUCCUUAGUUGCCAGCGAGUAAUGUCGGGGACUCUAAGGAGACUGCCGGUGUUAAACCGGGGGAAGGUGGGGAUGACGUCAAGUCCUCAUGGCCUUUAUGUCUAGGGCUGCACACGUCCUACAAUGCACUAUACAAAGCGAUGCUAAAUCGUGAGAUCACGCAAACCGCAAAAAGUAGUGCCUAGUUCGGAUUGCAGGCUGAAAUUCGCCUGCAUGAAGCCGGAAUCGCUAGUAA